AUACGGAGGGUGCGAGCGUUAAUCGGAAUUACUGGGCGUAAAGCGUACGUAGGCGGUUGGUUAAGUUAGAUGUGAAAGCCCCGGGCUUAACCUGGGAACUGCAUUUAAAACUGGCGAACUGGAGUUGAGUAGAGGGGAGUGGAAUUUCAGGUGUAGCGGUGAAAUGCGUAGAGAUCUGAAGGAACACCAGUGGCGAAGGCGACUCCCUGGACUCGAACUGACGCUGAGGUACGAAAGCGUGGGUAGCAAACGGAAUUAGAAACCCUAGUAGUCC
rnacentral:rRNA from 1 species